UGGGGAAUAUUGCACAAUGGGCGCAAGCCUGAUGCAGCCAUGCCGCGUGUGUGAAGAAGGCCUUCGGGUUGUAAAGCACUUUCAGCGAGGAGGAAGGUGGUGAGCUUAAUACGCUCAUCAAUUGACGUUACUCGCAGAAGAAGCACCGGCUAACUCCGUGCCAGCAGCCGCGGUAAUACGGAGGGUGCAAGCGUUAAUCGGAAUUACUGGGCGUAAAGCGCACGCAGGCGGUUUGUUAAGUCAGAUGUGAAAUCCCCGGGCUCAACCUGGGAACUGCAUUUGAAACUGGCAAGCUAGAGUCUCGUAGAGGGGGGUAGAAUUCCAGGUGUAGCGGUGAAAUGCGUAGAGAUCUGGAGGAAUACCGGUGGCGAAGGCGGCCCCCCUGGACGAAGACUGACGCUCAGGUGCGAAAGCGUGGGGCAGCAAACAGGAUUAGAUACCCUGGUAGUCCACGCUGUAAACGAUGUCGAUUUGGAGGUUGUGCCCUUGAGGCGUGGCUUCCGGAGCUAACGCGUUAAAGUCGACCGCCUGGGGGAGUACGGCCGCAAGGUU
rnacentral:rRNA from 1 species